AUUGAACGCUGGCGGCAGGCUUAACACAUGCAAGUCGAGCGGGGGAAGGUAGCUUGCUACUGGACCUAGCGGCGGACGGGUGAGUAAUGCUUAGGAAUCUGCCUAUUAGUGGGGGACAACAUCUCGAAAGGGAUGCUAAUACCGCAUGCGUCCUACGGGAGAAAGCAGGGGAUCUUCGGACCUUGCGCUAAUAGAUGAGCCUAAGUCGGAUUAGCUAGUUGGUGGGGUAAAGGCCUACCAAGGCGACGAUCUGUAGCGGGUCUGAGAGGAUGAUCCGCCACACUGGGACUGAGACACGGCCCAGACUCCUACGGGAGGCAGCAGUGGGGAAUAUUGGACAAUGGGGGGAACCCUGAUCCAGCCAUGCCGCGUGUGUGAAGAAGGCCUUAUGGUUGUAAAGCACUUUAAGCGAGGAGGAGGCUACUUUAGUUAAUACCUAGAGAUAGUGGACGUCACUCGCAGAAUAAGCACCGGCUAACUCUGUGCCAGCCGCCGCCGUAA
rnacentral:rRNA from 1 species